rnacentral:lncRNA from 1 species
CUUAUUUCCCCUUUUCCUAAUGUAAAACUUACUACCUUAGAUGUAUUCUUGAGCAUGUAGCUUGUUUUUUUUAAACAUAUUCUCAGGAUUUCUAAACCGUUCCAUAUAAGUUCAUAAAGAUGGUUCUUAUUCCUUUUUUACAGCAGUAUGUAGUUCCAUCUGUGAAUAUAUUCGACUUCAUUCAGUGUUUUCUUGAUAGCAUGCAGGAUGAUUGCGGUAUUUUGCUGUUAUAAAUAAGGCUACAAAGAGCAACCUGUGUAUAUGUUUUAUUUUUUUCUUAUUAUUGGAAUGUGUACUCAGUAAAUGACUCAGAGGAGGCAGCUGAUAUCACAUUAUGUUGAUAGCAAAUAAAACUAGCACUCUAUUUUCAUUUUAGGAGACUUGAACACAAUGGCAGGGUUGGAAAAAGAACUGAGUAAUGCCAAAGAGAAACUUGAACUCACGGCUAAAAAAGAAAGAGAAAGUCAGGACCUGCAAAUACAACUGAUAAUCCUGAAGACAUACCACCUGUGGAACGCCUGACCCAGGAAACAUUACUUCUUUGGGAAAAAAUUGCUUCAGUAGAAUCCCAGGGUCAAGAAAUUUCAGGAAACCAAAGACAACAAUUGCUGCUGAUGCUAGAAAAAGAUUAGUAGAUGAACAGAGUCAGCUCAGUGAGGACUUAGACGCAAAGAGACAGCUCUCUAGCAGUCUGGUGAAGUUCCAUGCUUAUCCAGAGAGCCUGCCAACUUUCAAACUAGAACUUCCACCAUCAUCCCUCCUGGUCCUCAGGCCUUCAGUCUCCAGCAGCAGCUAUACUAUCAGCUCUCCUGGGUCUCCAGCUUGCUGCCUGCAGAUCUUGGGGCUUCUCAGCCUCCAUCAUCACAUAAAUCAAUUUCUUCUAAUAAAACUUUUUCUGGCAUCUAUAAAUCUCCUGUUGGUUCUUUUUCUCUGGAGAAGCCUAAUACAGUGGGGACAUGGAUCAUCCCAGAGAGAACGUAGGAGUGAAGCAGGGAGCCCCAUCCUAGCAGCUGGAUCCUAGGGUCCUCCCAGAGUCUUUUCUGAAGAAGUUCCAAGUCCUACCUAAAAUCUCAAAUAAUGGCAACAGAGCCCGGUAAUGUGUUCUGGAUCCAUAGAGGAAGAGGUGUGGCUGGGUGACUUUCC